rnacentral:misc_RNA from 1 species
UUUCCGUAGGUGAACCUGCGGAAGGAUCAUUAUCAUGUAAUUCAGUCCCCUUGGCUGUGUUAUAUAUAUACCCACUCUGUGUACCUUCUCCUGUUGCUUCCGCUGGGUGUGUAACUCGCCCGGCGGAAGGGUAAAAAUAACCUCUGAGUAUUGAUGAAAUCUCUGUCUGAACCGAAUAGAAAGAAAAAUGUUAAAACUUUCAGCAACGGAUCUCUUGGUUCUC